UGGGGAACUUUGGACAAUGGGCGCAAGCCUGAUCCAGCAAUGCCGCGUGCAGGAUGAAGGCCUUCGGGUUGUAAACUGCUUUUGUACGGAACGAAAAGCCUCUCUCUAAUACAGGGGGGUGAUGACGGUACCGUAAGAAUAAGCACCGGCUAACUACGUGCCAGCAGCCGCGGUAAUACGUAGGGUGCAAGCGUUAAUCGGAAUUACUGGGCGUAAAGCGUGCGCAGGCGGUUUUGUAAGACAGUGGUGAAAUCCCCGGGCUCAACCUGGGAACUGCCAUUGUGACUGCAAGGCUGGAGUGCGGCAGAGGGGGGAUGGAAUUCCGCGUGUAGCAGUGAAAUGCGUAGAUAUGCGGAGGAACACCGAUGGCGAAGGCAAUCCCCUGGGCCUGCACUGACGCUCAUGCACGAAAGCGUGGGGAGCAAAACAGGAUUAGAUACCCCUGGUAGUCCACGCCCUAAAACGAUGUCAACUGGUUGUUGGGGAUUUAUUUCUUCAGUAACGAAGCUAACGCGUGAAGUUGACCGCCUGGGGGAGUACGGCCGCGAGGUUAAAAACUU
rnacentral:rRNA from 1 species